AGCAUAAAUAUGCUGAUACUUUACAAAGGGGAGCGUGAAGAGGAAGGAAAUUACUUUAUGACUAAUUGAUCAAAUAAUUGUUAAGAUUUAAGUUCAUUAAUACAUAAGAGCUUUGCUCAUUAUGCUGUCUGUAGGGAUCCACUUUAAAUUGACCACACUAUGAGCUAAACUGCUUGUGAUGAGGGCCUUUUGCUUAUAGAAAGAGGAAAUCUCUUUAGCUAAGUUCCAACACAAACUCUCUUCAACAAAAUUCUCACCUGCAUUGUUAUGUGAAGAGGCUUUAUACUAAGAUGCAUUUUAUUUGGCCGCACGAAAAAAUUACUAGACUCAAGAGAAUGGAAAGUAAAGCUGUGUUAGCCACCACACACACCCAGGACACACACAUCCACACACACACACAAAGGAAGACUCAUGUGAGAGGAGAGAGACUCACGUAAAGCAAGUGUUAUGUAAAAUUGUAAGAUUUAAAGUUGUUAGGGCUUAAAUUGAUUGCCAGGAUUGUCCACUGAUACUCAAGAUAACCGUAUGAACAAGUUACCCAUUUUUGUGACAGUAAAUAAUAAUUAUUCAAUAAUACAGAAAAUUCAGGGUAAUUGACAAAAGAGGCUGCACCUCAGUUUUUCCUUAAUAGUAAUUUUUAUGUGGUACUGCCCUCUGCUGGAGUAUAAAAUCUACACACACAUCCUUCAUGGCUUGGUUAAGACCAACCUAGGACCAACCUUCUAUUAAUUAUUGGUUGUUUGUUGGAACCCUUAUGAGCAGCCCGGCUAAGACAGGAAGAGGAGAGUUCUUUUACAAACUGACAGGUAUAAGCAGAUUGAGGUCGGUAUAAUUGAGAUGGGGGUGCCAGCCUCCUGAAGGUGCCCAUCAUUACCUCAGCCCGUCAUUCAGAAUUCCAUACUCUGGGAAUUACUUUUAGCAUUCAGUAGGACUUUUCCUCCAUGUCGAGUUAGGGUGAGCCGUCUGUGGGCAUUUGGUCUCUCUCUCUCUCAGCGUAGCAAUGCUCUCUCUUUACCAUGGUGAGGAACAGUGGCUUUCAUGUAACAAGGCAGAGGAGUUGAGCUCCCUCACUUGUGCAGACAUCGACCAGGAGCACUAGCCUGUCCUCUUCCUCUCUAAUAUGUAAUAUAAACACGUCUUCCUUUCAAUACAAUAUUAAUAAGUAAGGUCUGGCAUAUUUUCUUUCCCUUUCUUUUUUAGAUGAAUAAAUCUGUUUUGUCUAGUUUUGAGCCAGGACUAUCCUCCUUAGAACAUUUUUUCCACGUCUGCCCUCCCUGUUGCGUAGUUCUCCUCUCCUUUGAGUCCAUGUUUCUGCUCUUUGUGUUGCUAACUUUAGAACCAUCCCCUCAUUUCUCGAAUCAGAUUUCCUCUAUAUGCCCAUGGCCUUUUCUGUCCCAGCUGCAGGCUAACAUCUGCUUCCUUUUUUGACUUACACAUGCGGAAGCAAUUUGUUGGAUUGUCUUUCACAUUUAAUGACACAUUGGGCCUGAUAACAUUAACACUGUUUUCUGCCCUUGUAACUGAAACAUACAUAACUACAUAUGCCCAAGGAAGUGACGGGAAACAUUCACCCCAUUUGUUCUGUGAUUUCCUACUUGGGAAUUCAGAUUCCAAUCUUCUGAACCCUGUGCACUUGGUCAUAAAUGGAUGGGGCAAGACUUGCUUCUCUUGUGUUUAGAGAGGAUCAUGGCCCUGAUGCUCAGCCAUGUGCUGGGCCUGCUGGAGCCUCUGGGGGAGUGGGUGCCGCACCUGUGGUCCUCAGCAGAGGAGAGCCUGUUCUCUUUCUUCCUGUGGCUCUGUUCAGCUGAGGAUGCCUCCUAGAAAUCAACUCCGCAGUUGAACUGAAGAGAUCAAAGGAGCUGACGGUGCAACUCGAAAUGAAAUGAUUGAGUUUUGUCAACCCUUUUGGAAAUGUAAGGGGUAGCUUCUCAUGACUUCCUGAGCUGAGCCAUGCUCUUCCAUUUUAUGUGACAGCCAGUGACCAUUCUCCUUUGAGGCAGGCCCUCAGAAGCUUCAUGGAGGACAUUUCUUCAGCUGAUGAAGGCAAUGCUUUUAAACUACG
rnacentral:lncRNA from 1 species